AGCGAACGCUGGCGGCAGGCUUAACACAUGCAAGUCGAGCGGGCCCUUCGGGGUCAGCGGCAGACGGGUGAGUAACGCGUGGGAACGUGCCCUUCGGUUCGGAAUAACCCUGGGAAACUAGGGCUAAUACCGGAUACGCCCCUUGGGGGAAAGGUUUACUGCCGAAGGAUCGGCCCGCGUCUGAUUAGCUUGUUGGUGAGGUAACGGCUCACCAAGGCGACGAUCAGUAGCUGGUCUGAGAGGAUGAUCAGCCACACUGGGACUGAGACACGGCCCAGACUCCUACGGGAGGCAGCAGUGGGGAAUAUUGGACAAUGGGCGCAAGCCUGAUCCAGCCAUGCCGCGUGAGUGAUGACGGCCUUAGGGUUGUAAAGCUCUUUUGUCCGGGACGAUAAUGACGGUACCGGAAGAAUAAGCCCCGGCUAACUUCGUGCCAGCCGCCGCAGUAACAC
rnacentral:rRNA from 1 species